UACGAGUUCAAACUUAAAACCCAAAGGACUUGACGGUGUCUCACUCCACCUAGAGGAGCCUGUUCUAUAAUCGAUUAUCCCCGAUACACCCCACCGCUUCUUGCCUACUCAGCCUGUAUACCUCCGUCGCAAGCUUACCAUGUGAAUGCACUCAGUAAGCCAAAAGAUCCAGCAUACAAACGUCAGGUCAAGGUGCAGCCUACGAAGCGGGAGAUAAUGGGCUACAAUCUCUACCCUAGAACAAACGGAAGGCUGCAUGAAACACAGCCCCAAGGCGGAUUUAGCAGUAAAAAGAAAAUAGAGAGUUCUUUUUAAUUAGGUAUGGGACGCGUACACACCGCCCGUCACCCUCUUCAAACUACCCACAACGUUUCUAACACCACAAAACCGCAUAGAAGAGGCAAGUCGUAACACGGUAAGCGUACUGGAAAGUGCGCUUGGAAUACAAUAUGUAGCUUAACAAAAGCACCUUGCUUACACCAAGAACAUGCCUGUUAAACUCAGACCAUCUUGAGCUAAAAUCCCAGCCCCACCCACUCCCAUGCAACAACCCAACCCAACAACACCAAUAAAACAUUUUAUUGACCCAGUAAAGGCGAUCAAAAAGUCCUUAGGAG
rnacentral:rRNA from 1 species